rnacentral:lncRNA from 1 species
CCGACUUUUUGAAUUUUGGUGCACAACUUCAAACCUCAAUUCUAGGGAUACGAGCCAUAGAUCGGAACACUGUAAACGAUCCAUCAGAAAGUCUGGAAAAACUCAGAACACAGAUCAGACACUCGAAUCUUGCAAUUUGCAAAAGUCCAGUGUGUCACAGCGCGAGUGCAGUAACACUCAAGCUCUAUUCAUUUAAUUUCGGGUUGAGUACUGAGCCGAACACAAGUAGGCUCGCUCAUCUACCGGUCCUAAUCAACAGUCCUAUUUAUGAAAAAAAUAAUAAUAAAAUCCAUCUCUUUUUUUCUGAUAAAAAUAAAAAUCUUAACUAUAAUUCUUUCCCAAGAU